rnacentral:rRNA from 1 species
ACUGCGAGUGAAGCGGGAAAAGCUCAAAUUUAAAAUCUGGCGGUCUUUGGCCGUCCGAGUUGUAAUCUAGAGAAGUAAUGCCCGUGCUGGACCGUGUAUAAGUCUCCUGGGAUGGGGCGUCAUAGAGGGUGAGAAUCCCGUCUUUGACACGGACUACCAGUGCAUUGUGGUAUGCUCUCAAAGAGUCGAGUUGUUUGGGAAUGCAGCUCAAAAUGGGUGGUAAAUUCCAUCUAAAGCUAAAUAUUGGCGAGAGACCGAUAGCGAACAAGUACCGUGAGGGAAAGAUGAAAAGAACUUUGGAAAGAGAGUUAAACAGUACGUGAAAUUGCUGAAAGGGAAACGCUUGAAGUCAGUCGCGUUGGCCGGGAAUCAGCCUUGCUUUUCUGCAUGGUGUACUUUCUGGUCGACGGGUCAGCAUCAAUUUUGACCACUGGAAAAGGCUCAAGGGAAUGUGGCAGCUUCGGCUGUGUUAUAGCCCCUGUUCACAUACAGUGGUUGGGAUUGAGGAACUCAGCACGCCGCAAGGCCGGGUUUCGACCACGUUCGUGCUUAGGAUGCUGGCAUAAUGGCUUUAAGCGACCCGUCUUGAAACACGGACCAAGGAGUCUAACAUGCCUGCGAGUAUUUGAGUGGAAAACCCAAGUGCGCAAUGAAAGUGAAAGUUGAGAUCCCUGUCGUGGGGAGCAUCGACGCCCGGACCAGAACUUUUGGGACGGAUCCGCGGUGGAGCAUGUAUGUUGGGACCCGAAAGAUGGUGAACUAUGCCUGAAUAGGGUGAAGCCAGAGGAAACUCUGGUGGAGGCUCGUAGCGAUUCUGACGUGCAAAUCGAUCGUCAAAUUUGGGUAUAGGGGC